AACGAACGCUGGCGGCAUGCCUAACACAUGCAAGUCGAACGAGACCUUCGGGUCUACUGGCGCACUCGUGCGUCACGCGUGGGAACCUGCCCUUAGGUUCGGCAUACCUCCCCGAAAUGGGUGCUAAUACCGGCUAAUGUCCUCUGACCCCACAUUUAUCGCCUUUGGAUGGGCCUGCGUUGGAUUACCAAGUUGUUAUUGUAAAGGCCUACCAAGGCUAUGAUCCAUAGCUGGUUUAAGAGGAUGAUCAGCAAAACUGGAAGGGAGACACGGCCCAGAAUCAUAGGAGAGGGGGCAGUGGGGAAUAUUGGACAAAGGGCGAAGGGCAGAAAGAGCAAUGCGUGGUAAGGGAUGAAGGUGGGAGGGAAGUGAAGCACGUUAACACGGGAUGGUAAUGACGGUACCAGGAGAAUAAGCACCGGCUAACUUCGUG
rnacentral:rRNA from 1 species